UACGAAGGGGGCUAGCGUUGCUCGGAAUCACUGGGCGUAAAGCGCACGUAGGCGGCUUUUUAAGUCAGGGGUGAAAUCCUGGAGCUCAACUCCAGAACUGCCUUUGAUACUGGCGACCUUGAGUCCGGGAGAGGUGAGUGGAACUGCGAGUGUAGAGGUGAAAUUCGUAGAUAUUCGCAAGAACACCAGUGGCGAAGGCGGCUCACUGGCCCGGUACUGACGCUGAGGUGCGAAAGCGUUGGGGAGCAAACAGG
rnacentral:rRNA from 1 species